rnacentral:rRNA from 1 species
GCUCAUUACAACAGCCAUAGUUUAUUGGAUGUUUACGUUCCUACAUGGACACCUGCGGUAAUUCUGGAGCUAAUACAUGCACAAGCCGACGACCUUACGGAAGUCGCGCAUUUGUUAGAUCAAACCAAUCGGUCCUCCGGGACCGUAAUUUGAUGACUCUGAACAACUUAGCUGACCGCACAGUCUCGUACUGGCGGCAUAUCUUUCAAGUGUCUGCCUUAUCAACUUUCGUUGGUAGUUUAUACGACUACCAAGGUUGUAACGGGUAACGGAGAAUAAGGGUUCGACUCCGGAGAGGGAGCCUGAGAAACGGCUACCACAUCCAAGGAAGGCAGCAGGCGCGCAAAUUACCCACUCGCAGAACGCGGAGGUAGUGACGAAAAAUAACGAGGUGGCUCUCUAUGAGGUCCAUCAUCGGAAUGGGUACAAUUUAAAUCCUUUAACGAGGAUCUAUUGGAGGGCAAGUCUGGUGCCAGCAGCCGCGGUAAUUCCAGCUCCAAUAGCGUAUACUAAAGUUGUUGCGGUUAAAAAGCUCGUAGUUGGAUCUGCGCUCUGUGAGAGCGGUCGCUCGCUGAGUUGUACUGUCUCUCACGGGCUAACCAUUCGGUUUUCCCUUGAUGCUCUUCAUUGAGUGUCCUGGGUGACCGAAACGUUUACUUUGAAAAAAUUAGAGUGCUCAAAGCAGGCGAUUUGCCCGAAUAUUCGUGCAUGGAAUAAUAAAAGAGGUCCUUGUAGCCUUUUAUUGGUUAUCGCUACGAGGAAAUGAUCGAAGGGGACAGACGGGGGCAUUUGUAUUGCGACGUUAGAGGUGAAAUUCUUGGAUCGUCGCAAGACAAACUACUGCGAAAGCAUUUGCCAAGAAUGUUUUCAUCAAUCAA